rnacentral:lncRNA from 1 species
CAGUAGAUGGCUCUCUAGGGAUAAAACUGGGUUGAAACGAGAAGCAUUUGGCAGGAUGCCCCACAGGAGCUAAGUCAGGCAAGCAUCUCAAUGGAGAGCAUUGCAAGCCAACAGUGCUGGUUUAAUCAGAACAGAAAAUGAUUAAGGGGUAUUAACUGGAACAAAGGGACCAAAAUGCUCCCCUUGGAAUCCAUGCAGGUAGCAACAACACUGGUUUUGCUAUGGACUCACUCCAGAAAACAUGCUGUAGCUACUCCUGGGCGACAUGAAACCCCGUGGCUGACUCUGAUGACCAUGACAGAUGGGUCUCUUUGAACUUUGGCUGAUUUGGUUAGAAGCAUGAAUUCAUGGGGAUUAUACCACAACUCUUCCUACACAGGUGACCAGGCAACUUUCCUAUCCCAUAAGUGCUGUUAAGUUACUCAAUAUUAAGGAGUAU